UACAUAGGGUGCAAGUGUUGUCCGGAAUUAUUGGGCGUAAAGAGCUCGUAGGCGGUUCGUUACGUCGGAUGUGAAAAUCUGGGGCUCAACCCCAGACCUGCAUUCGAUACUGGCGAACUAGAGUGUGGUAGGGGAGACUGGAAUUCCUGGUGUAGCGGUGGAAUGCGCAGAUAUCAGGAGGAACACCAAUGGCGAAGGCAGGUCUCUGGGCCAUUACUGACGCUGAGGAGCGAAAGCGUGGGGAGCGAGCAGG
rnacentral:rRNA from 1 species